UACGUAGGGGGCGAGCGUUGUUCGGAGUUACUGGGCGUAAAGAGUGCGUAGGCGGUGCUCCAAGUCUGGUGUGAAAUCUCCCGGCUUAACCGGGAGGGUGCGCCGGAAACUGGGGUGCUGGAGUGUGGGAGAGGUAAGCGGAAUUCCCGGUGUAGCGGUGAAAUGCGUAGAUAUCAGGAGGAACACCGAUGGCGAAGGCAGGUCUCUGGGCCGAUACUGACGCUGAGGAGCGAAAGCGUGGGGGAGCGAACAGG
rnacentral:rRNA from 1 species